AGUGCUAUAACUGGGUCAAAUGGUUCCAUUCCAUGUUUUCUAUGGAAUCUCCAUACUUCUUUCCAGAGUGAUUGCACCAAUUUGCAGUCCCCCUAGCAAU
rnacentral:pre_miRNA from 1 species